AUUGAACGCUGGCGGCAGGCCUAACACAUGCAAGUCGAACGAGUGGCGGACGGGUGAGUAAUGUCUGGGAAACUGCCUGAUGGAGGGGGAUAACUACUGGAACCGGUAGCUAAUACCGCAUACCAUCAGAUGUGCCCAGAUGGGAUUAGCUAGUUGGUGGGGUAACCGCGCACCAAGGCGACGAUCCCUAGCUGGGCUGAGAGGAGGACCAGCCACACUGGAACUGUGAAACGGGCCAGACUCCGACGGGAGGAAGCAGUGGGGAAUAUUGCACAAUGGGCGCAAGCCUGAUGCAGCCAUGCCGCGUGGAUGAAGAAGGCCUUCGGGUUGUAAAGUACUGUCAGCGGGGAGGCGUUACCCGCAGAAGAAGCAUCGGCUAACUCCGUGCCAGCAGCCGCGGUAAUUC
rnacentral:rRNA from 1 species